UUAAUUAUGUUAACAUACAGUGUUAUACUGGUUUCAGGCGUACAAUGUAGUAAUUCAACACUUCCAUACAACACCCCGUGCUUAUCACAAGUGCCCUCCUUAAUCCCCAUCACCUAUUUCACCCAUCCCCCACCCACCUCC